GGCUACUUUGAGUGCAAUGACAUUUACAAAUAAUUGAUCACAACCAGUUACAGAUUUCUUUGUUCCUUCUCUACUCCCACUGCUUCACUUGAAUAGCCCAAA
rnacentral:Y_RNA from 1 species